AUUGAACGCUGGCGGCGUGCCUAAUACAUGCAAGUCGAACGGAGUGGCGCCCGGGUGUGUAAUAUAUAGUUAAUCUGCCCUACACAGAGGAACAACAGUUGGAAACGGCUGCUAAUACCCCAUAGUGUAGGAUGAGACUAUAUCGUAUCAGCUAGUUGGUAAGGUAAUGGCUUACCAAGGCGAUGACGCGUAACUGGUCUGAGAGGAUAAGCAGUCAAAUUGGAACGGAGACACGAGCCAAACUCCUACGGGAGGCAGCAGUAAGGAAUAGUGCGCAAUGGGGGAAAGCCAGACGCAGCAACGCCGCGUAGAGGAUGACACUUUGCGGAGCGUAAACUCCUGUUAACAGGAAAGCGGUACCUGAAGAAUAAGCACCGGCUAACUCCGUGCCAGCAGCCGCGGUAAUAC
rnacentral:rRNA from 1 species